GUUGUAUAUGGCUUUUAUUAUGUUUAGGUAUGUUCCUUCUAUCCCAAGUUUUUUUUGAGGAUUUUUAUUAUAAAGGAUGUUUAAUUUUAUCAAAUGCUUUUUCAGCAUUCAUUGAAAUGAUCAUAUGAUUUUUACCCUUCAUUCUGUUUAUAUGAUGUAUCACAUUGAUUGAUUUGUGUAUGUUGAACCAUCCUUGCAUCCCUGGGAUAAAUCCCACUUGGUCAGGAUGAAUGAUCUUUUUAAUAUAUUGUUGAACUCAGUUUGCUAAUAUUUUGUUGAGGAUUUUUACAUCAAUAUUCAUCAGAGAUAUUGGCCUGUAGUUUUUUGUUUUUUUUUUUUUAACAUGUCUUUGUCUGGUUUGGGUAUCAGGGUAAUUUUGGCCUUGUAGAAUGAGUUUGGAAGUAUUCCCUCCUCCUCUACUUUUCAAAAUAGUUUCAGUAGGAUUGGUAUUAGUUAUUCUUUACAUGUUUGGUAGAAUACAACAGUGAAGCCAUUGGGUUCCAGGUUUUUCUUUACUGGGGGACUUUUUAUUAUGGCUUUGUUCUCAUUACUUGUUAUUGGUCUGUUCAGGAUUUGGAUUUCUUUCGUUUACAAUCUAGGUAGGUUGUAUGUAUCUAGGAAUUAGUCCAUCUUUUUUCUAGAUUUUCCAAUUUAUUGUCACGUAGUUACUUGUAGUAGCCACUAGUGAUCCUUUGAAUUUAUGUAUUAUCAGUUGUAAUGUCUCCUUUUUCAUUUCUGAUUUAAUGUAUUGGGAUUUUCUCCUUUUUCUGAAUUAGUCUGGCUAAAGGUUUGUCAGUUUUGUUUAACUUUUCUGAAAAUCAAUUUUUUGUUUCAUUGACCUUUUGUAUUAUUUUCAUUUCAAUUUUAUCUAUUUCUGCUCUGAUCUUUAUUAUUUCUUUUCUUUUACUAAUUUUGGCUUUGGUUUGCUCUUGCUUUUCUAAUUCUUUAAAAGGCAUUAUUGGAUUGUUUAUUGGAAGUUUUUCCUCUUUUUUGAUAUAGGUACUUAUAGCUAUAGACUUCCCUCCGAGUACUGCUUUUGCUGUAUCCCAUAGGUUUUGGUAUGUUGUGUUUCCAUUAUUAUAUGUUUCAAGAAAUUUUUCAAUUUCCUUCUUAACUUCUUCAUUGACUCACUGUUCAUUCAGGAGCAUAUAGUUUAAUUGCCAUGUAUUCGUAUAAUUACCAAAAUUCCUUUUUUUUUUUUUUUUUUUUUUUGAGAUGGAGUCUUGCUCUGUCGCCCAGGCUGGAGUGCAGUGGCAUGAUCUCGGCUCACUGCAACCUCCGUCUCCCGAGUUCAAGCAAUUCUUCUGCCUCAGCCUCGUGAGUAGCUGGGAUUACAGGUGCCCACCACACACCCCGCUAAUUUUUGUAUUUUUAGUAGAGACGGGGUUUCACCAUGUUGGCCAGGCUAGUCUCGAACUCCUGACCUUGUGAUCCUCCCACCUCAGCCUCCCAAAGUGCUGGGAUUACAGGCAUGAGCCACUGCGCCCAGCCCCACUUUUUUUUUUUUUUUUUUAAUUUCUAGUUGUAUUCCAUUGUGGUCAGAGAAGAUGCUUAAUAUUAUUUCAAUUUUUUGAAUGUUUUAAGACUUGUUUUGUGAUCUAACAUAUGGUCUAUCUUUGAGAAUAAUCCAUGUGCUGAGGAAAAGAAUGUCUAUACCUCUUAGAUAAAAUGUUCUGUAAAUAUCUAUUAGAUCCAUUUGAUCUAUAUUGCAGAUUAAGUCUGAUGCUUCUUUGUUGAUUUUCUGUCUGGAAAAUCUGUCCAAUGCUGAAAGCACAGUGUUGAAGUCAACAACUAUUAUUGUACUGGGGCCUAUCUCUCUCCUUAGCACUAAUAGUAUUUGCUUUGUAUGUCUGGGUGCUCCAGUGUUGGUUGCAUAUUAUUUACAAUUGUUACAUCCUCUUGCUGAAUUGACCCCUUUAUCAUUCAUUAUAUAGUGAUCUUCUUUGUCUCUUCUUAUAGUUUUUUUCUUGAAAUCUAUUUUGUCUUAUAUAAGCGUAGUGACUCUUACUCUUUUUUGGUUUCCAUUGGCAUGGAAUAUCUUUUUCCACCCCUUUAUUUUCAGUCUAUGUGUGUCUUUUUUUUUUUUUUUUUUUUUUUUUUUUGAGACGGAGUUUUGUUCUUGUUGCCCAGGUUGGAGUGCAAUGGUGCGAUCUCAGUUCACCGCAACCUCUGCCUCCCAGGUUCAAGUGAUUCUCCUGCCUCAGCAUCCCAAGUAGCUGGGAUUGCAGGCAUGUGCCACCAUGCCUCGCUAAUUUUGUAUUUUUAGUAGAGACAGGGUUUCUCCAUGUUGGUCAGACUGGUCUCGAACUCCCAACCUCAGGUGAUCUGCCCACCUCAGCCUCCCAAAGUGCUGGGAUUACAGGCGUGAGCCACUGUGCCCAGCCCUAUGUGUGUCUUUAUAGGUGAAGUGUAUUUCUUGUAGGCAAUAGAUUAAUGGGUCUUCUUUUUUCAUCCAUUCACCUACUCUAUGUAUUUUGAUUGGAGAGUUUAGUCUAUUUAUAUUCAAUGUUAUUAUUGAUAAGUAAGGACUUACUCUUACCAUUUUGUUAUUUGUUUUCUGAUUGUUUAAUGGUCUUCUCUUCCUUCUUUCUCUCCUUUCUGCCUUCCUUUUACUGAAGUGAUUUUCUUUGAUGGUAUGUUUUAAUUGUUUGCUUUUUAUUUUUUGUAUAUCCUUUGUAUGUUUUUUGGUUUGAGGUCACACCUCUCCAAUUCUCCAGGAUUGGUGCCUGGUGCCUUAUUUAGUUCAUUUAGUGAGGUCAUGUUUUCCUGGGUGGUGGUAAUGCUAGUAUAUGUUCUUCAGUGUCUGGGCAUUCAAAGGUUAGGUAUUUAUUGUAGUCUUCACUGUCUGGGCUUAUUUUUUAGCUGUCCUUUUUGGGAUGGCUUUUCAGAUAUUUGAAAGGACUUAGGUAUUGUGAUCUAAGCUGUAUCUGCUUUAGAGGGAACCCCAAGCCUAGUAACACUGUAGUUCUUGCAGACUUGUAGAGGUACCAUCUUGAUGGUCUUGGACCAGAUUUGUGAGAAUUCUUUGGGUUACCAGGCAGAUACUCUUGUUUCCUUCCCUUACUUUCUAGCAAACAUAGAGUCUCUCUCUGUUAUGAGCUACCUAAAGCUGGGGGUGGAGUGACACAAGCACCCAUGUGGCCACCACCACUGUGACUGCACUGGGUCAGACCUGAAGCCAGCACAGCAUUGAGUCUCACCCAAGGCCUGCUAAAACCACUCCCUGGCUACUGCCUAUGUUUGCUCAAGUCCCUGGGGCUCUAUAAUCAGCAGGUGGCAAAGCUAGCCAGGCCUAUGUCCUUUCCUUCAGGGUGGCAAGGUCCCCCAAUCCCCGGGUGGGUCCAGAAGUGCCAUCUGUGAGUGAGGGACUGGAGUCAAAAACUUUAGAAGUCUAUGUGGUAUUCCACUCUAUUGUGCUACUCAAACCACACAACCCAGACUUUCCCACUUUUCCCUCCCCUUUCUAAAGGCAGAGGAGUCUCACACCCUAACCACUACCACCCCAGGCCAUGAGGAGUACUGCCAGACUAUCGCCAAUGUUCCCUUAAGGCCCAAGGUCUCUUAUGUCAGCUUGUCGUGAAUGCUGCCUGCCCUAGUCAGUGGGCUUCUCUCUGGCCCAAGGCAGGUCCAGAAAUGCCAUCAAAGUCGAGUCCUGGAAUCGGGGACUCCUAGGGGCCCGCUUUUUGCUCUAAGCCCCUGUGGCUGUGCUGGCAUCUAAGGUACAAGACAAAGUCCCCUUUACUUUUCCAUCUGCUUUUCUCAAGCAGAAGGAGUUUUUUCCCAUAGCCACUACAGCUGAUAAUGUGCUGAGUCUCACCUGAAGCUAGCAAGUCUCAGGCUCGCCCAAGGCCCUCGAUGUACCUGGCUGUCGCUGCUGGUUAUUCAAGGCCCAAGGGCUCUUCAGUUAGCAGGUGAUGAAUGCUGGCAGGACUGGGUUCUAUCCUUCAGGGCAGCAGGUUUCCUUCUGGCCCAAGGUGUGUCUAUAAAUGUCAUUUUGGAGCUAGGUCCUGGAAUGGAGGCGUCAUGUCUCUGACUGGUGCCCUAACCUGCUGUUGCUGAGCUGGCAUCCAAGAUGCAAGAUAAAGUCCUCCCCACUCUUCCCUCUCCUCUCCUCACCUCUUUUCCCUCUCCUCUCCUCAAGCAGAAGGAAGGGAUCUCUUUUGGAGCUGCAGGCUGUGUAGCCUGGAGUUAGCAGAGGGGUGAUGCCAGCACUCCCUUGGCUACCCCAGCUGGUGUCUCAGUAUGUUGUAUUUUGGAAUACUCAUCAACUCUGGUUAAAAGACAUCUUCCAGGAACUAUUUCCUCAUUGCAAUCAGAUCCAUGCAUUACGGGUCAACAGCACCCAACUGGUAGAGACAGUACCAGAGGCAGCCCUUAGUCCAAGAGAACUAAGCAGCCCCUUGCAUGGCCUCUGGAUUGAUUGCCAGUGAGGGGCUGCCAAACUGUGGGUGGUACCUGAAAGGGCUAUCCCAGAUGAGCCCCCAAAUUUGUAACCACCUGACAGGUUCGUCUUGCCUGCUGCCCAGAUAGAUUAAUAUCAAGACAGAGGAAUUACAAAAAAGAAAUACUUUAAAGCAUGUAGAGCCACCUAAAUGGAAGACCAGAGUUUUAUU
rnacentral:lncRNA from 1 species